rfam:Schistosoma haematobium scaffold1434_9, whole genome shotgun sequence.
AGCAUUCCGUAUCCGUGCUGAGAUUUCGUCACACACUAGACCACAAGGACUGAUGAGGUUCUCAAGGCAAGUGGGGCG